UGUCCUCCUUAUAUUUGUUCUAGGUAUCUUCUUCUACAAAAAGAAAAUGAAGAAAACCUACAUAACUCAAUAGCAAUAGAAGUCCAUGUGAAAAAAAUUAUUCUGAAAGGUUCGUUCUUUGUCACCACGGUUGGAUGCAGAGGUGCAAUCCAGGCUCACCACAGCCCCAAACACUCAGGCUCAAAUGAUCCUCCCACUUCAGCUUCCCGAGGAGCUGGGAUUACAGAUAUCUUUGGAUUUAUAGCAUCUCCUACUUUUUAG
rnacentral:lncRNA from 1 species